GAUUUUGCAAACUGUGUUUUUGCAGAUGGGAAACACGGAGGAAUACAUCGACGGGCAAUUGACAGGAAACCUUGGAGAGAUCUUGAUCAGAUGCAACAAUGUCUUGUAUGUCCGAGGUGUGCCAGAA